rnacentral:rRNA from 1 species
CGGGUGAGUAACACAUAUCCAACCUGCCGUCUACUCUUGGACAGCCUUCUGAAAGGAAGAUUAAUACAAGAUGGCAUCAUGAGUCCGCAUGUUCACAUGAUUAAAGGUAUUCCGGUAGACGAUGGGGAUGCGUUCCAUUAGAUAGUAGGCGGGGUAACGGCCCACCUAGUCUUCGAUGGAUAGGGGUUCUGAGAGGAAGGUCCCCCACAUUGGAACUGAGACACGGUCCAA